rnacentral:rRNA from 1 species
UACGAAGGGGGCUAGCGUUGUUCGGAAUUACUGGGCGUAAAGCGCGCGUAGGCGGCGAUCUUUGUCAGAGGUGAAAUCCCGAGGCUCAACUUCGGAAUUGCCUUUGAAACGGGGUUGCUAGAGUCCGAGAGAGGAUGGCGGAAUUCCUAGUGUAGAGGUGAAAUUCGUAGAUAUUAGGAAGAACACCGGUGGCGAAGGCGGCCAUCUGGCUCGGUACUGACGCUCAGGCGCGAAAGCGUGGGGAUCAAACAGG